GGCAAUAUCAUAUUGAAAUACCAGUUCUCUUAUGAUCAUUGAAGUUAAGCAAUAUCAAGCCUGGUCAGUACCUAGAUGGGUAACCACUUUGGAAUAGUGGGUGCUGUGA